AUUGAACGCUGGCGGCAGGCCUAACACAUGUAAGUCGAGCGGAUGAAGGGAGCUUGCUCCUGGAUUCAGCGGCGGACGGGUGAGUAAUGCCUAGGAAUCUGCCUGGUAGUGGGGGAUAACGUCCGGAGACGGGCGCUAAUACCGCAUACGUCCUGAGGGAGAAAGUGGGGGAUCUUCGGACCUCACGCUAUCAGAUGAGCCUAGGUCGGAUUAGCUAGUUGGUGGGGUAAAGGCCUACCAAGGCGACGAUCCGUAACUGGUCUGAGAGGAUGAUCAGUCACACUGGAACUGAGACACGGUCCAGACUCCUACGGGAGGCAGCAGUGGGGAAUAUUGGACAAUGGGCGAAAGCCUGAUCCAGCCAUGCCGCGUGUGUGAAGAAGGUCUUCGGAUUGUAAAGCACUUUAGGUUGGGAGGAAGGGCAGUAAGUUAAUACCUUGCUGUUUUGACGUUACCAACAGAAUAAGCACCGGCUAACUUCGUG
rnacentral:rRNA from 1 species